ACCAAAGGCCACUCCAGGGCUGGCUGUGGAAGAAUGAAAAACCAAAAGAGAACAUUCCAGGCCGGUAACUCCAGUAAGACAGUUGCAUGCCGUGCACAGUAACUGUCACCUUCCCCAGUCCAGCAUUACAUGCUGUUGUAAAAACCAGCAGCUUUGCAUCGACAGACCACGCUUCUGGCCUUGCCUGGCAGGAGUGUGCUGCUCUGGGAACCUCUAAAACCCUGGACCAGCCCCCACACGCAGGAGAUGUGGAGUUUCCUUACUCGACUUCACAUGAGCGAAAGAUGAGGACACAGAUAGCUUCAAUGCCCUAAUGACACAGCAAGUUGCAGAACCUGGAUUCGAACCAAGUCAGACCUCACAACCCACGGCCCUUGUCCUUUCUGUGACUUCAAUAUUAUUAAAAUGAACUCUCUAUAAACGGAA
rnacentral:lncRNA from 1 species